rnacentral:rRNA from 1 species
UCCAGGCAAAUCCGGAUAAUCAAGGCUGAGGUGUGAUGACGAGGCACUACGGUGCUGAAGUAACAAAUGCCCUGCUUCCAGGAAAAGCCUCUAAGCAUCAGGUAACAUCAAAUCGUACCCCAAACCGACACAGGUGGUCAGGUAGAGAAUACCAAGGCGCUUGAGAGAACUCGGGUGAAGGAACUAGGCAAAAUGGUGCCGUAACUUCGGGAGAAGGCACGCUGGUGUGUAGGUGAAGUCCCUGCGGAUGGAGCUGAGACCAGUCGAAGAUACCAGCUGGCUGCAACUGUUUAUUAAAAACACAGCACUGUGCAAACACGAAAGUGGACGUAUACGGUGUGACGCCUGCCCGGUGCCGGAAGGUUAAUUGAUGGGGUUAUCCGUAAGGAGAAGCUCUUGAUCGAAGCCCCGGUAAACGGCGGCCGUAACUAUAACGGUCCUAAGGUAGCGAAAUUCCUUGUCGGGUAAGUUCCGACCUGCACGAAUGGCGUAAUGAUGGCCAGGCUGUCUCCACCCGAGACUCAGUGAAAUUGAACUCGCUGUGAAGAUGCAGUGUACCCGCGGCAAGACGGAAAGACCCCGUGAACCUUUACUAUAGCUUGACACUGAACAUUGAGCCUUGAUGUGUAGGAUAGGUGGGAGGCUUUGAAGCGUGGACGCCAGUCUGCGUGGAGCCAACCUUGAAAUACCACCCUUUAAUGUUUGAUGUUCUAACGUUGGCCCCUGACCGGGGUUGCGGACAGUGUCUGGUGGGUAGUUUGACUGGGGCGGUCUCCUCCCAAAGCGUAACGGAGGAGCACGAAGGUUAGCUAAUCCUGGUCGGACAUCAGGAGGUUAGUGCAAUGGCAUAAGCUAGCUUGACUGCGAGCGUGACGGCGCGAGCAGGUGCGAAAGCAGGUCAUAGUGAUCCGGUGGUUCUGAAUGGAAGGGCCAUCGCUCAACGGAUAAAAGGUACUCCGGGGAUAACAGGCUGAUACCGCCCAAGAGUUCAUAUCGACGGCGGUGUUUGGCACCUCGAUGUCGGCUCAUCACAUCCUGGGGCUGAAGUAGGUCCCAAGGGUAUGGCUGUUCGCCAUUUAAAGUGGUACGCGAGCUGGGUUUAGAACGUCGUGAGACAGUUCGGUCCCUAUCUGCCGUGGGCGCUGGAGAAUUGAGGGGGGCUGCUCCUAGUACGAGAGGACCGGAGUGGACGCAUCACUGGUGUUCGGGUUGUCAUGCCAAUGGCACUGCCCGGUAGCUAAAUGCGGAAGAGAUAAGUGCUGAAAGCAUCUAAGCACGAAACUUGCCCCGAGAUGAGUUCUCCCUGAGACUUUAAGUCUCCUGAAGGAACGUUGAAGACGACGACGUUGAUAGGCCGGGUGUGUAAGCGCAGCGAUGCGUUGAGCUAACCGGUACUAAUGAACCGUGAGGCUUAACCUUACAACGCCGAAG